CCCGCACAAGCGGUGGAGCAUGUGGUUAAUCGAAGCAACGCGAAGAACCUUACCAGGUCUUGACAUCCCGAUGCUAUUCUAGAGAUAGAAAGUUACUUCGGUACAUCGGUGACAGGUGGUGCAUGGUUGUCGUCAGCUCGUGUCGUGAGAUGUUGGGUUAAGUCCCGCAACGAGCGCAACCCCUAUUGUUAGUUGCCAUCAUUCAGUUGGGCACUCUAGCGAGACUGCCGGUAAUAAACCGGAGGAAGGUGGGAUGACGUCAAAUCAUCAUGCCCCUUAUGACCUGGGCUACACACGUGCUACAAUGGUUGGUACAACGAGUUGCGAGUCGGUGACGGCGAGCUAAUCUCUUAAAGCCAAUCUCAGUUCGGAUUGUAGGCUGCAACUCGCCUACAUGAAGUCGGAAUCGCUAGUAAUCGCGGAUCAGCACGCCGCGGUGAAUACGUUCCCGGGUCUU
rnacentral:rRNA from 1 species